rnacentral:misc_RNA from 1 species
CUCCGUUUCACAAUGUAAGUCAUUCUAGCAUUUCCCACAUUCAUGUUGAUGUUAAUGAAUCUAUAUAGAUAUAUAUGUCUAGAUUCAUUCACAUCAAUAUGAAUGUGGGAAAUGCUAAAAUGACUUGCAUUGUGAAACAG